rnacentral:rRNA from 2 species
UAUUGAUUGGUGCUUGCAUCAUGAUUUACAUUUGAGUGAGUGGCGAACUGGUGAGUAACACGUGGGAAACCUGCCCAGAAGCGGGGGAUAACACCUGGAAACAGAUGCUAAUACCGCAUAACAACUUGGACCGCAUGGUCCGAGCUUGAAAGAUGUCUUCGGCUAUCACUUUUGGAUGGUCCCGCGGCGUAUUAGCUAGAUGGUGGGGUAACGGCUCACCAUGGCAAUGAUACGUAGCCGACCUGAGAGGGUAAUCGGCCACAUUGGGACUGAGACACGGCCCAAACUCCUACGGGAGGCAGCAGUAGGGAAUCUUCCACAAUGGACGAAAGUCUGAUGGAGCAACGCCGCGUGAGUGAAGAAGGGUUUCGGCUCGUAAAACUCUGUUGUUAUUUUAGAACAUAUCUGAGAGUAACUGUUCAGGUAUUGACGGUAUUUAACCAGAAAGCCACGGCUAACUACGUGCCAGCAGCCGCGGUAAUACGUAGGUGGCAAGCGUUGUCCGGAUUUAUUGGGCGUAAAGCGAGCGCAGGCGG